UGUAUUAUUUGUGCUUUUUAAGAAUAUUUUUUUAAUUCGGAUACUUUUAUAAUAGCUUUAAUAGUAUUAUUAACAUAGUGAAUAAAAUGGUGUCCUGUUUUUAACGCAGUUGGAGUAGCAGAAACAAAUGUAGAUAAAAAAAUCUGCAGGAAUAACGUUUCAAUUAUGACAGAAGCUCCAAACAAAUGACUGUGAAUGAAAAGCCCUAUUAAAAGCUUUCCAGAAGAUCCUGUGAAGAAGACAUGAAGUAUAGAUCAGAUUUGUUAAUAGAGGAGUAUGUUCAAAACACUUUUUAGAAAAAGAUAUUGACAGAACUUCACUUUCAUCUGUUCGUUUAAGAGACUGUGCUGUUCCAAUAGCUUAUGUCACACAGAAUCAGCUGAGAGAAGUGGUCUACAAAAAACCAGAAAGGAAACGGAAUAUGUGGCUACGAAAAGCAAAAGAAAGGUUUACAAAGCAAAUGUGACACAUUUUUUUAUAAUAUUUAGGAAUGUCAGUAAAUUACAUUAAAAAAUGUAUGUAAAGAUUUUUUGCAAUAAAAAUGUUUAUAUUUAUCAAGGAUGUAUUAUUUGGUAUGGCCACAUAUCGUCAGUGAUGUGACAAUACCUCCUAUCUGUUUUUUUCAAGAGAUUUGUAAGAUAGACUAAAAACUUGUUUCGGCCACCUCCUGUUUUCAUAUAUUUUUUGACUUGUUUUGCAGUAAAUUCAACUAUCUAUUUACUACAAAAAAGUCAGAAUACGUACGAAAACAGAAAGUGACCUUAAAAAAUGUUUUUCGUCUCCUGCAAACCUCAUGAAAAAACAUAUAGGAGGUAUUGUCACAUUACUGACGAUAUAUUUCAGUGAAUGUCUAAAAAAUAUACUGUGAAUGUUCAAACAAGACAUUCAGUCUAAAAAUAUACUGUGAAUGUCCAAAGAACAUUCAUGGAAUGUUCCAACAAGACAUUCAGUCUAAAAAAUAGACUGUGAAUGUCCAAAGAACAUUCGUAGACAUUCAUGGAAUGUUCCAACAGAACAUUCUAAGAAUAUUUAAAAUGCUGACACAGCACUUUCCUGGGACUUUCCAGGGACAUUCGUGUGCAUUUGGGGACAUUCCAGGAAUGUUUUCAAUGUCCUGUGUGUACAUUCUAGGAACAUUCAUGGAAUGUUUUGUGUUAUUAGGGAAUGUGACAGUAUAAUGAA